rnacentral:tmRNA from 1 species
GGGGAUGCUCCGGUUUCGACAGGGAUGUGGACAUCAGAGAAGCGGGUUGUCAGGCUGUUGACAUUAAAAAAAGCAAACAAAAUAAAGGCUAACGAAUCUAAUUUAGCUUACGCUGCUUAACAAAAAGCGGCCGACCCUCUGAAUGGACCCGUAACGUUCGGACUGGUCUCAAUCAUUUCGGGAAACUUCCUGCGCUAAGCUUUGCCCGCAGGUUGGACUUGAUGAAGCUACCGAGAAGGUUUGCCUGUUUAUCGGCUGGCCGUCUCGGGAAAAAAUUUCGAUAAACUACGCCCGUAGAAACUCUUUUUGAAGCAUUUUUGGACAAGGGUUCGACUCCCUUCAUCUCCAU